CUUGCUUGGCUUCCUCUGGAACAUUCCUGCUGACAGAUGGGCGGAGUGGUUAUCAUAUGAGACUUACAGAGAUCUCUGUGGGAAACAAGUCAGUUCAGACGUGAGUCACGACGUGCCUUCACAACAUUGAAGAGGAGCAUUAGCAAAGAAAAUGGUUUAAAUGUAAGUGUGACUAUGAAGAAGAGCCCACCCCUUUUUCUCUGAUGAGCAAUGCGUUGGUUGCGUCACACAGUAACAGCAGCAUUCAGAGGUCACUAAGAAACGGGGCAAUGACUCGACAGCACAACGAUUUGGAGCGAGGCAUUCAAACAUAUCAACGUGUAGUCAUGAAGAAUGGCAAACCUGUUGAAACCGAAGAAAUCAGGUUUUAUUCAACUGAUUAAAGGAUACUUGAAAAAUACAAAAGAGCAGUUUUAAUGUAAUUAAAAUGUUGUGGGGUCUUUCUGUGCUCAAA